CCUACGGGUGGCAGCAGUGAGGAAUAUUCGUCAAUGGACGCGAGCCUGAACCAGCCAAGUCGCGUGAAGGAUGACUGCCCUACGGGUUGUAAACUUCUUUUAUAAAGGAAUAAAGUAAGGCAAGUGUGCCUUUUUGUAUGUACUUUAUGAAUAAGGAUCGGCUAACUCCGUGCCAGCAGCCGCGGUAAUACGGAGGAUCCGAGCGUUAUCCUGAUUUAUUGGGUUUAAAGGGAGCGUAGAUGGGUUGUUAAGUCAGUUGUGAAAGCUUGCGGCUCAACCGUAAAAUUGCACUUGAUACUGGCAGUCUUGAGUACAGUUGAGGUAGGCGGAAUUCGUGGUGUAGCGGUGAAAUGCUUAGAGAUCACGAAGAACUCCGAUUGCGAAGGCAGCUUACUAAACUGCCACUGACAUUGAUGCUCGAAAGUGUGGGUAUCAAACAGGAUUAGAUACCCUAGUAGUC
rnacentral:rRNA from 1 species